rnacentral:tRNA from 1 species
GCCUGAGUGGCUCAGUUGGUUAGAGCAUCUGCCUUCAACGUGGAUCAUGAUCCUGGGGUCUUGGGAUCGAACCCCACAUUGAGCU